UGUGACUACCUGACACUAGAGCAUACAAAAUCACACCUAGAGACCAAACAUCUGUUCGAGGACCAUCAUACGCUUUACCCUAAAUGGAUCGGAACUACUCGAGUCCUGGACAUCCGCCUAUUCCACCCGCCUUCAACACUGCUUAUGCCCCGCCAAAAAUCCCUCCUGGCUACGGAACAGACUUAUAUCCUGCUGUAAACCUGGACCCGGAUACCCUCCCAGCAAUGGAAAUAGAGGAAAUAACCAGGAAUCGUAAAUCAAGUCCUUCAUCCAAUCCAAGAAACCUAACUACGGGAAUCUCAGGCUCAAGCACAAGAAGGACGAGUACUACUGCAUUAAAUGCUCAGAAUAUCCAUCUUUCAUGGUACUUGGAGAAAGAAUAGUCCGUCAUAGACAACCUCUAAUUUUUUGGUGAAGCGCCUUUAAAUAUAUUUAUUUCUAUUA